UGAGGGAUAGUAAUAAAUUGUUUAUCCAUUUCAUACCUCCUUUAAGAGAAAUUACAGGUGCACAAACCUCCACUGGUAAUAAAGUUGAGUUACUUACUCCCGAAUUUGUAAUUUAGUGACUUUCACCAUAUGUUUUACAAAUCCAGGGUUCUUUCUUCAGUGAAAUUGUCUUUCAAUCUGUAUCUUAAAGACUCAGAAAUUUACCGGGAAAUGGAAACAAUAGUGAUGGACAUUAUCAGGGAUGGAUAUGAAUUGGGAAUGGGCAUGAGGAAGGCAUUUCAUCCAAAAAGAGCCCAAAGAAGCCCAAAGGGGCAAAGUGAAAUGAACUUCAGAGUGACAACUGGUCAUUGACCUCAUGGAUUUCAAAUUUAUUUUCCAGGUUGGAGGAAGUUAGAUUUUUUUUCUUUCUUCAUUGUUAGAAGAUUAUGGAAUCAUCAUCAUGAGUUGUUCUGCUCACAAAGAUUGGUCUGUGACAGACACCAAACCACAACCCAAUUCAGAAAGUGUAUACUUAAAAGUGACUUCUCAUGAGACCCCAAGGAUGGGAGGCUGUUGAGGCAUCCAGCUGCAUGCCCCUGACCAAAUCUGCUAGGUACUCAAAGAUUCUCUGUGGUUGGAGGAUAG
rnacentral:lncRNA from 1 species